rnacentral:rRNA from 1 species
AUGGCUUGUUCAACCACAUUUAGGGUUCCCAGUGGGUUAGGAUUCUUGGGGCCUUCCAAGAUUGGUCGGAAUCCUUUGAGAAACAAAGGUGGUGUCCGGUCAGGAGCAAAGUAUGUGGCACCAACGUGUGCAGUCUCCUCUGCUAGGCCAGCGUCACAGCCUAGGUUCAUACAGCACAAGAAGGAGGCCUUCUGGUUCUACAGGUUUCUUUCUGUAGUAUAUGAUCAUGUUAUAAACCCAGGGCAUUGGACUGAGGACAUGAGGGAUGAUGCAUUGGGACCCGCUGAACUCUAUGACAAUGAGUUCAAGGUUGUUGAUGUUGGCGGUGGAACUGGGUUCACUACAUUGGGGAUUGUCAAGCAUGUGGACAACGACAAUGUGACCCUGCUGGACCAGUCACCACACCAGAUUGAGAAGGCUCGGCAGAAGGAGGCACUGAAGGGGGUGAGCAUCAUGGAGGGUGAUGCUGAGGACCUCCCCUUUCCAACUGACACAUUUGACCGUUAUGUCUCCGCUGGAAGCAUUGAGUAUUGGCCUGACCCGCAGCGAGGAAUCAAGGAAGCUUACAGGGUCGUAAAGCCUGGCGGGCUUGCCUGUUUGAUCGGUCCAGUUCACCCAACAUUUUGGCUAUCUCGCUUCUUCGCCGACAUGUGGAUGCUCUUCCCCACGGAAGAAGAGUACAUAGAGUGGUUCACCAAGGCAGGGUUCGAGGAUGUCAAGCUCAAAAGGAUCGGGCCCAAGUGGUACCGUGGUGUUCGUCGGCAUGGCUUGAUCAUGGGAUGCUCCGUGACAGGCGUGAAGAGAGCUUCUGGCGACUCCCCUUUGCAGCUCGGUCCCAAGGCUGAGGAUGUUGAGGAACAGGUGAAUCUUCUCGCCUUCCUCUUCCGCUUCGCCAUCGGGACGAUAUGCGCGUCGUACUACGUGCUAGUGCCUAUCUACAUGUGGAUCAAGGAUCAGGUUGUUCCCAAAGGCCAGCCUAUUUAA